rnacentral:rRNA from 1 species
CUGAAAUGUACCCGAAGAAAUAAGGAUCGGCUAACUCCGUGCCAGCAGCCGCGGUAAUACGGAGGAUCAAGCGUAUCGGAUUUAUUGGGUUUAAAGGGUGCGUAGGCGGUUCUUUAAGUCAGAGGUGAAAGACGGCAGCUUAACUGUCGCAGUGCCUUUGAUACUGAAGAACUUGAAUUGGGUUGAGGAAUGCGGAAUGAGACAAGUAGCGGUGAAAUGCAUAGAUAUGUCUCAGAACCCCGAUUGCGAAGGCAGCAUUCCAAGCCUAUAUUGACGCUGAUGCACGAAAGCGUGGGGAUCGAACAGGAUUAGAUACCCUGGUAGUCCACGCCCUAAACGAUGAUAACUCGAUGUUGGCGAUAGACAGUCAGCGUCCCAGCGAAAGCGUUAAGUUAUCCACCUGGGGAGUACGCCCGCAAGGGUGAAACUCAAAGGAAUUGACGGGGGCCCGCACAAGCGGAGGAGCAUGUGGUUUAAUUCGAUGAUACGCGAGGAACCUUACCCGGGCUUGAAAGUUAGUGAAUGAUCCAGAGACGGAUCAGUCCUUCGGGACACGAAACUAGGUGCUGCAUGGCUGUCGUCAGCUCGUGCCGUGAGGUGUUGGGUUAAGUCCCGCAACGAGCGCAACCCCUAUGUUUAGUUGCCAGCAUGUAAUGAUGGGGACUCUAAACAGACUGCCUGCGCAAGCAGAGAGGAAGGUGGGGACGACGUCAAGUCAUCAUGGCCCUUACGUCCGGGGCUACACACGUGCUACAAUGGUCGGUACAGCGGGCAGCUACACAGUAAUGUGAUGCCAAUCUCUGAAAGCCGAUCACAGUUCGGAUUGAGGUCUGCAACUCGACCUCAUGAAGUUGGAUCGCUAGUAAUCGCUUCAGCAAUGACC